GCACAGGGAAAAAAAAACGGGAAAAAGGGAAAAACUCUUUGCUCCGGGGCUGGAAUGGCCCGGGAAGGGAAUGUGGGGGGGGGAGGGAAAUGAAGGAAAAUCACGGGAAGGGAAGAGGGAUUUGGGAAAAAUUCGGGAUUUGGGAAAAGUUCGGGGUUUACCCCCGAAGGUCAUAAAAAAAAGGGAUGGAUUUUGCCGCGGGAAUUCGGGAUAUCGGGAUGUCCCCACCCCCACCCCGGCGGGGUUUGGAUGGAAAACUCAAGGGAGCCCCGGGAAAAUGAGGAAUAACGGGAAAAAAUGAGGGAUAAUGGGAAAAAAUGAGGGAUAAGGGAGCGGUUGGAUAUUCCAGAGGCUGCUCCAGGGCUGGGAUAUCCCACCCAAAACCCUCCAGGGAAUCUCCAAAAUUUCAGGUCCUGCUUGGCUUUGAAAAUCCACCUGAGUUGGGAUCCCAAUUCCGGGAUCCCGGUGGGGAGAGACAGAAAAAUUGGAAUUUAAGGGACAAAAAAAAACCCCAAACCCAUAAAAAUCCGAGAUUCCCAUUCCCAAACAUCCCAGAAAAGGCAAACCCACCAACCCCCCUCCCUCCAAUCCCCUCCCACCCCACGGAAGAACAAAGAGCAAGGGAUCCCAUUCUCUUCUCACUGGUGAUAUUUUUUUUUUUUAAGGACCAUUUUUUUUUUAAUUUCAUCUCCAAUUUUUUUUUUUAAAUUUUUUUGGUGUGUUUUUUUUUUUUCCACAAAAUGAUUUUUUUUAUUUUUUUUUGCUGUGGUUUUUUUUUUUUUUUUUUCCUUUUUUUUUUUUUUUUUUUUUUUUUAAUUUCCUUCUUCUUUUUUUUUCUUCUGUCUUUUCUUCUUCUUCUUCCCCGACAUUUUUUUUUUUAAUUAUUGUUUUUUUUUUUUUUAAACCCACUCUCUCAGGAAUUUCUCGUUUUCCCGCAGUUUUUUUUUUUUUUACACACACAAGCAAGAUGUGGGAACCAAGCUGGUGCAAGAAAAAGGGGGGUGGGAAAAGGGGGGGAAAAAAGGGGAAAAAAAGGGAAAAAAAAACAAAAAAAAAGAGAAAAAAACCAACCAACCAACCAAAAAAAAUUCAACUCAACUCAAAUCAGCUCCGAGGGAUUCGUGGAUUCCGGAUAAUCCCUGUGGAUCUGCAGCUCCUGGAUGGGUUUUACCCAAAUUCCAAGCGGGAAAAAAUCCGAAAAAAAAACAAAAGGAGGAGGGCAAAAAAAAAAAAAAAAAAUAAAUCUAAGAGAGAACAACCCAAAAGCCAACUCGAAGCCAUUCCAGGGCAGCAGGUCCCGAUCCCAGGGAACAGCUCCUGGUCCAUCCGGCCCCGAAGGGGAGCAGAAAUGACAACAGCAACAUCCCGAGGUUUUUUUUUUUCCAGAGGGACAGCGACAUCCCGAGGUUUUUUUCUUCCGGAGGGAAUCCCGCCGGGGGUCGGCGCAGUCCCGACAGCUCCGGGAGGGAUCCGCGGAAAACGACGGGCGAGGAAUCCAAGUGGAGACACUUCCAGGCCGUGGGGUGGGAUUGGACUCGUUCCCUCUCUUUUCUCCUGGCUGGAGGAGCCCCUUCCAUCCCUGUGCCUGCUCCUGCCACCCCAGAAAUCCCGGGAUCCGGAGGAGGGCGACGCCGUUCCCGCAAAAAGCAAAGACACAUCCCAGGUUUUCGUGGUUGUUUUGGGAGGGGGGAGGUUUUUGGGUUUUUUUGGCCGCUCAUUCCCUUCCCUCUCCUGGGAUAGAUAGCCCAGGGAACACCCCCUGGGAUCUGCACUCCUGUAUUGCUACCAACAUGGAAUGUGGGAAUGCCACCCGCCCCUCGGGACACUGGCUGGGAAAAGAGGGAAGGAAGGAAAGGAAGGGAGGGAGGGAAAAAUCUCAGGCUCUAAAGGGGUGAGGUGAGAGAGAGAGAGAGAGAGAGAGAGAGAGAUAUAGAUAUAAUAUAUCAAUGCUAUAAUCCAUAAAAACCUUGUUUGUUUGUUUUUUUUUUAGUAAUAAAAAAAAUUGCUUUUUUUUUUUUGUUUUUUUU
rnacentral:lncRNA from 1 species